rnacentral:rRNA from 1 species
UACGUAGGGGGCCAGCGUUGCUCGGAAUUACUGGGCGUCAAGGGUCCGUAGGCGGUGUAGCAAGUCGAUAGUGAAAUCUCUGGGCUUAACCCAGAGGCUGCUAACGAAACUGCUGUGCUAGAGUGUGAGAGAGGCGAGUGGAAUUACGGGUGUAGCGGUGAAAUGCGUAGAUAUCAGGAGGAAUACCGGUGGCGAAAGCGACUCUCUGGACGGCAACUGACGCUGAGGCACGAAAGCGUGGGGAGCAAACAGG